GACGAACGCUGGCGGAGUGCUUAACACAUGCAAGUCGAACGAAGUGGCGAACGGGUGAGUAACGCGUAAUCAACCUGCCCUUCAGAGGGGGACAACAGUUGGCAACGACUGCUAAUACCGCAUACUGAAGGAGGGGUUUUCGUCUGAUCAGCUAGUUGGAGGGGUAACGGCCCACCAAGACGAUGUUCAGUAGCCGGUCUGUGAGGAUGAACGGCUACAUUGGGACUGAGACACAGUCCAGACUCCUACGGCAGGCAGCAGUGGGGAAUCUUCCGCAAUGGACGAAAGUCUGACGGAGCAACGCCGCGUGAGUGAUGACGGCCUUCGGGUUGUAAAGCUCUGUUAAUCGGGACGCGGUACCGGAAUAGAAAGCCACGGCUAACUACUUGCCAGCAGCCGCGGUAAUUC
rnacentral:rRNA from 1 species